UACACGACCGUACCGCAAACCGACACUGGUGCGCGAGAUGAGUAUUCUAAGGCGCUUGAGAGAACUCAGGAGAAGGAACUCGGCAAAUUGACACCGUAACUUCGGAAGAAGGUGUGCCUUUAGUAGGUGAAGUCCCUCGCGGAUGGAGCCCAAUGAGGUUGCAAAAAAUCGGUGGCUGCGACUGUUUAUUAAAAACACAGCACUCUGCAAACACGAAAGUGGACGUAUAGGGUGUGACGCCUGCCCGGUGCUGGAAGAUUAAAUGAUGGGGUGCAAGCUCUUGAUUGAAGUCCCAGUAAACGGCGGCCGUAACAAUAACGGUCCUAAGGUAGCGAAAUUCCUUGUCGGGUAAGUUCCGACCUGCACGAAUGGCGUAACGAUGGCCACACUGUCUCCUCCUGAGACUCAGCGAAGUUGAAAUGUUUGUGAUGAUGCAAUCUCCCCGCGGAAAGACGGAAAGACCCCAUGAACCUUUACUGUAGCUUUGUAUUGGACUUUGAACAGAUCUGUGUAGGAUAGGUGGGAGGCUUUGAAGCAGGGUCGCUAGAUCUUGUGGAGCCAACGUUGAAAUACCACCCUGGUGUGUUUGAGGUUCUAACCUAGGCCCGUAAUCCGGGUUGGGGACAGUGCAUGGUAGGCAGUUUGACUGGGGCGGUCUCCUCCCAAAGUGUAACGGAGGAGUUCGAAGGUACGCUAGUUACGGUCGGACAUCUUGACGAUAGUGCAAUGGCAUAAGCGUGCUUAACUGCGAGACUGACAAGUCGAGCAGAUGCGAAAGCAGGACAUAGUGACCCGGUGGUUCUGUAUGGAAGGGCCAUCGCUCAACGGAUAAAAGGUACUCUGGGGAUAACAGGCUGAUACCGCCCAAGAGUUCAUAUCGACGGCGGUGUUUGGCACCUCGAUGUCGGCUCAUCUCAUCCUGGGGCUGUAGCCGGUCCCAAGGGUAUGGCUGUUCGCCAUUUAAAGAGGUACGUGAGCUGGGUUUAAAACGUCGUGAGACAGUUUGGUCCCUAUCUUCCGUGGGCGCUGCAGAUUUGAGGAAGCCUGCUCCUAGUACGAGAGGACCGGAGUGGACGCACCUCUGGUGUAUCGGUUGUCACGCCAGUGGCAUUGCCGAGUAGCUAUGUGCGGAAGAGAUAACCGCUGAAAGCAUCUAAGCGGGAAACUCGUUUCAAGAUGAGAUCUGCCGGGGCCUUGAGCCCCCUGAAGAGUCGUUCAAGACCAGGACGUUGAUAGGUCGGGUGUGGAAGCGCAGUAAUGCGUUAAGCUAACCGAUACUAAUUGCUCGUGCGGCUUGACCUG
rnacentral:rRNA from 1 species